rfam:Nitrococcus mobilis Nb-231 scf_1099646003885 genomic scaffold, whole genome shotgun sequence.
GAUUGCGGUUAAUAGGGUAGGAUGAGAACCGUAGGUUCGACCAAAUCGCCGGGAGCGAUUUGGAACGCUGCGCGCAGCGUGGCGGCCCGUAGGGCGGAGGGCAGGAUGCCCAGAGUAAUCCUACUCUCUCCACCA